rnacentral:tRNA from 1 species
GCCGCCGUAGCUCAGCCUGGGAGAGCGCCCGUGGGCACCCGUGCUAAGAACCUCCAGUACGGGUGCCCGGCGAGGCUGAAGACCGGGCGGUCGCGGGUUCAAGUCCCGCCGGCGGCACCA